rnacentral:rRNA from 1 species
UACGUAGGGGGCAAGCGUUGUCCGGAUUUAUUGGGCGUAAAGAGCGUGUAGGCGGUUAGGUAGGUCCGUUGUGAAAACUCGAGGCUCAACCUCGAGACGCCGAUGGAAACCAUCUGACUAGAGUCCGGAAGAGGAGAGUGGAAUUCCUGGUGUAGCGGUGAAAUGCGCAGAUAUCAGGAGGAACACCGGUGGCGAAGGCGGAUCUCUGGGCCAUUACUGACACUCAGGGACGAAAGCUAGGGGAGCGAAUGGG